AACGCUGAAGGAGGAGCUUGCUUCUCUGGAUGAGUUGCGAACGGGUGAGUAACGCGUAGGUAACCUGCCUGGUAGCGGGGGAUAACUAUUGGAAACGAUAGCUAAUACCGCAUAAGAGUAGAUGUUGCAUGACAUUUGCUUAAAAGGUGCAAUUGCAUCACUACCAGAUGGACCUGCGCUGUAUUAGCUAGUUGGUGGGGUAACGGCUCACCAAGGCGACGAUACAUAGCCGACCUGAGAGGGUGAUCGGCCACACUGGACUGAGACACGGCCCAGACUCCUACGGGAGGCAGCAGUAGGGAAUCUUCGGCAAUGGACGGAAGUCUGACCGAGCAACGCCGCGUGAGUGAAGAAGGUUUUCGGAUCGUGAAGCUCUGUUGUAAGAGAAGAACGAGUGUGAGAGUGGAAAGUUCACACUGUGACGGUAUCUUACCAGAAAGGGACGGCUAACUACGUGCCAGCAGCCGCGGUAAUACGUAGGUCCCGAGCGUUGUCCGGAUUUAUUGGGCGUAAAGCGAGCGCAGGCGGUUAGAUAAGUCUGAAGUUAAAGGCUGUGGCUUAACCAUAGUACGCUUUGGAAACUGUUUAACUUGAGUGCAAGAGGGGAGAGUGGAAUUCCAUGUGUAGCGGUGAAAUGCGUAGAUAUAUGGAGGAACACCGGUGGCGAAAGCGGCUCUCUGGCUUGUAACUGACGCUGAGGCUCGAAAGCGUGGGGAGCAAACAGGAUUAGAUACCCUGGUAGUCCACGCCGUAAACGAUGAGUGCUAGGUGUUAGACCCUU
rnacentral:rRNA from 1 species